CCGUGUAAAUCUGAGUUGGACUCUCAGGCAGCUAGUGACUGGAGUUGUGGGAGGACGAGUCCUAAUCAAAUGGUUAGACACUUUAGCAGAGGCCAGCAUCAAGUAUUUCUGCAAGGGGAUCUGCUUAACUGAAUCAGGUAUUCUCAUUCAGACUCAGGACAGUGAGAACUCUACCGAGAAAGGACGAUACAGUAUCUUUGACUUUAGAAAUGGAGUCUUCACUGUGAGCAUGAUGUACCCUGCAGUCCCAGAGACAUUGUGAAGGUUUGGCCACGGAGGUUUCGGUUCAACGGAUUGUUCUCACACCACACAGAGAGGGGGGAGACAGAGAGGCAAGGAGAUUCCCAUCAUCAACCUCAUAAAUGAGGAAGUACAGGAGAAAAAGAAGAAAUAAGCACUGGAUAAAGAUGAAGAAAACAAUAACGCAUUUAUGCUAACUAGUCCGGAAAAGAAAGAGAGCGAUAAGCAGAGGAGAAAAGAGAAAGACAGGAGCUACGUGUCCAAGGAGACAAAGAAGGAGAGACAUUGGGAUUGUGCGAGAAAAGGAGGUUCGAAACCGAACGAAGACCAACAUGGAUCGUUUCUUCAUCACUAUGGUUACUAUUCUAUUUGCUCUGUGUCCAGCUGGGUCAGAGGUUCUGACAGUGACUGGAGUUGUAGGAGGACGGGUGGUGAUAAAAUGUUCCUUCAACUCAUUAGACAACCACAUCAAGUAUUUCUGCAAGAGCCCCUGCUUAACUGAAUCAGAUGUUAUCAUUAAGACAAAGGUCAGCAACAACUAUAUUGCAAAAGGAAGAUACAGUAUAACAGACCAUGGAAAUGGAUACUUCACUGUGACCAUCAAGGACCUGAAGAAGUCAGACUCUGGGACAUACUGGUGUGUAGUGGAGAGAGUUGGAGUUGACUCAUACCAAAUGGUGAAUCUCAGCGUUGUGGAAGCUCCGCCCACUACCUCUGAUGUCAUCACUGCAACGGCACCAAUGACAGGUAACCAGUGUUCUCAUUCCUGUUCCAAAGACGAAACAGCAUGGGAGGCACGAACAACAGCAACUCCACCCGAAGCAGUCAAUUCACCAAAUACUCCGCCCACUACCUCUGAUGUCAUCACUGCAACGGCACCAAUGACAGAAACAGUAUGGGAGGCACGAACAACAGCAACUCCACCCGAAGCAGUCAAUUCACAAAAUAUUCCAGGUACUCCAGUGGUCAUCAUGGUUUGUGUUGGUCUGGCUGUUUUGGUGCUGGGACUGUUACUGAUCUGUAAAUGGAGGAGAGUCAGGAAAGCAUCAAGGCCAUUAGUCAAACCAGACACAUCAACUCAAGACUCCAGAACCAACCAAAGCUUCACAUUAGUAUCCCGAGACUCCACCUACCAAACCCUCACCAAGGGAACCCAAGACUCCACCUACCAAACCCUCACCAAGGGAACCCAAGACUCCACCUACCAAACCCUCACCAAGGAAACCCAAGACUCCACCUACCAAACCCUCUCCACGUCAACCCAAGACUCCACCUAUCAAACCCUCACCAAAGAAAACCCAAGACUCCUCCUACCAAACCCUGACCAUGUCAACCCAAGACUCCACCUACCUAACCAUCACCAAGGGAACCCAAGACUCCACCUACCUAACCAUCACCAAGGGAACCCAAGACUCCACCUACCAAACCAUCACCAAGGCAACCCAAGACUCCUCCUACCAAACCCUGACCAUGUCAACCCAAGACUCCACCUACCAAACCCUCACCAAGGAAACCCAAGACUCCGCCUACUAAACCCUCUCCACAUAAAUCCAAGAUUCCACCUACCAAACCCUUACCACAGCCACACUUAUAAAACACACCCACAACCAAACUGAGAAUGUUCCAGCAUCAAACUCACACGUAGGCGAUUAUAGUUCUAAAAAAGUGUUAUAACUAAAAAGUGUUAUAUAGUUCUAAAAAAGUUUUAUAACUAAAAAAAUGUAUGGUUAAAAGCAGAAUUUAAAUAUAGUGAUUUGGUUGUUAUCAAAUGUAAAGAAUAUUUAAAAGCAAUAUUAUUUUUGUCUUGGUUAAUAUUUUGAUCGAUUGGUCUGGUGUGGCACAGAUUGUCCAGUAGGGGCAGCAGAGAGUGCAGCUUCGUUCAUUUCAUUUCUGAAUUGAAGAGAGCAGCACCUGCUCAGAAAUCCUCUCCUCGCGCUUGUUGUCGGUCGUUCUUUGGAUCUUGUUCCAUGUUCCAUAGUUCUGUUUUUAUGGUUUUUAAUUUUGUUUUAAUGUUCUGUUGCUGUAUGUUUAGUUAUGUCAUUAGAGUCCUGAGAUCUCCAUGUGUCUGUGUCCUGCUUUCAGUGUGUGUUUAUGCAAUGCUACUUGAAAGUAUGUGAACCCUACUG